GAUGAACGCUGACAGAAUGCUUAACACAUGCAAGUCGAUGGGGAAGUGGUGCUUGCACCAUGGUAACCAUGGCGGACGGGUGAGUAACGCGUAAGGAACUUGCCUGCGGGACUGGGAUAACAGCAGGAAACUGCUGAUAAUACCGGAUAAGGUCAUUAAGCUGCAUAGCUUAGUGAUGAAAGGAGACGCCUGCGGAGAGCCUUGCGUCCUAUUAGCUAGUUGGAGGGGUAACGGCCCACCAAGGCGAAGAUAGGUAGCCGGCCUGAGAGGGUGGACGGCCACAAGGGGACUGAGAUACGGCCCUUACUCCUACGGGAGGCAGCAGUGGGGAAUAUUGGACAAUGGGGGCAACCCUGAUCCAGCAAUUCUGUGUGCACGAAGAUGGUUUUCGGAUUGUAAAGUGCUUUCAGCAGGGAAGAAGGAAGUGACGGUACCUGCAGAAGAAGCGACGGCUAAAUACGUG
rnacentral:rRNA from 1 species